CAGGAAUGAGGGUGAGAAGUCACUUGUAUUGGCAGACAUCGAAGGUGACAACUGCAUCACCAAAGUCCAUCCCAUCACAGAAGCUGGAAAUCUGGAGUGCCCUACAUAACUCACAGGCCACUCAGCUGGUUGGAGAACAUCCUUUCAGAUACUUCAAAUUAUCCACUAACUGUUCUGCAGAGCCUUGUAUAGAGGUACAAAGAAUUCUUCCAAAGAAUGGAUGUGUGUGCACGUGUAAUGUAGAGGCAGUUUUCUUACACUUGAUAAAGGACUUUCUUCACCCAGACUAGGUUCUGUUCUGUGUUUAGGUUGUAUGCACUUUGUAGUAUGUUUUAAAAUACAUCUUCUUGACCCUGAGCAGUCUGCUAUCCCAGGCAGACCUCCAUUCUCCCAUGGCCUCUCCACCCAUCUUCAUCAGACCUGUGAAUCCUGAACCAUGAAUACCUGCAGAUCUCACACCACACAGACCUUCUGAUCUGGAGUCAUACAACCAAAAGAUACCCAUCAGAGGCCUGCGACACCAGGACCAUCAAGGUUAG
rnacentral:lncRNA from 1 species